rnacentral:rRNA from 1 species
UACAGAGGGGGCGAGCGUUGUUCGGAAUUACUGGGCGUAAAGGGCGCGUAGGCGGCCCGCUAAGUCGAACGUGAAAUCCCCAGGCUUAACCUGGGAACUGCGUCCGAUACUGGCAGGCUUGAAUCCGGGAGAGGGAUGUGGAAUUCCAGGUGUAGCGGUGAAAUGCGUAGAUAUCGGAAGGAACAUCAGUGGCGAAAGCGGCUUCCUGGACCAGUACCGACGUUCAGGCACGAAAGCGUGGGGAGCAAACAGG